UCACAUCAAUUCGAACUCUAACAACUUUAGAGCCUCAGUAGAUUUUUUAGCCAAAUCAAUAAUCCUUGCAACAUAAUCGAAAAAAGGGCGACUGUAGAUCGCUCUCGUGGUUUUGGCUCCUGUUCACCGUUCCAAAAUCCCUUCGAUCCUGUUUCCCUUUUUCAUGUUUGUUUUACUCGACAGUCUUUCUCCCGGUUCUAUUGCGUGGGGGCUUCGUCUGGUAGGAAGCUUUCUAUUUUUGUCAGUCCCAGGCUUUCUCUCUGCCAUCGCAGAUUGCUUUUGGAGUUUGUUUGUCUCGUUUCCAAUUUGUUUUGGCUAUAUACCCGUUUCCUUCUUCCUCCUCUUUCGUUCUAUCUCGCUCUCUCACUCUUCAUUAUUGUUUCUGUUCUGAUUUGUUUUUUUUUGUUUUCUUUCCAUGGCCGAUAGGUUUGAUUUCUUGUGCGAUGCUGUUCCGGGAAGAACUGCUUGGCGAUUCAAGGUUAGGGUCGCUGGGAUAUGGGAAGUAACUGGUUUGAUUUCCUUUUCUAAAAUUCUGCCUUUUCAUUUAUAGUUGUACUGACUUUGUACCUAUUUCUUCUUGUUUGGUUGAUUGGCUUGGACUGCAUAUUCAAGGGUUUGAUUUUGUUUGUUUGUUUGUUUCAUUUCAAGGUUUGAACUUGUUUCUUGUUUUAUUUGUUAUUCUAUAUUGUAUAUUUGGUGUAUUGUUUCUUUUUCAUCUAACAAUGGAGCUAUUUUUGGAACUGUAUAAAGGUAUGUAUGCAUUUUCAUUGAUUUAAAUCAAAAUUUGCUAUUUGGCUGUUAGUGCUUAUUGGUUUCUAUUCUCUUGCCUUUAUUUUCGGUUUGGUGGGUGAGGUUUUUGUUUCCUGGAUUUUCUUCCUCUGUUAGAUGCCCCUUUCCUUGUAUCUUCCUCUUUGGUACUUUUUGUAUUGUGUUGGAAAUUAAUAAAGUUUUCUAUCUCAAAAAAAAAAAAAACAUUUUUUUUUUAUUCAACCCUUUGUUUAGUUACAUGUUGUGUUGUAUUUGAUGUUUGUGAACUCAAGGUGUUUUUUUUUUUUUUUUUUUUUUCACACUACAUGGUGUGGUUUCAGCACCAAAAUUUGCUUCUAUGUGUUUGUCAUUAAUGGAUGUUUUUCCUUUGAAUAGAUGGUAAUUAGCUGCCUAUGGCAUUAUGUCCUUCCUCAUACUCAAGUUCAAGGUGCCUAUAUUAUUUAUUUUGGAGUGUCCUUUGCUUGGUUGAUCUUUCUUGCUUUUCAUUCGUUUUUGUAUAUUUUGAUUGUUUGCAGCUUCCAUGGUUACUUUACUGAUCAGUGCUAAAAAUGUCCAAGUGAUUAUAGUGGCAAUAUGUUAAUUUUGAUGGAAAUUGAUGAACUAGUGUGUUUUGAUUACGAAGUUAUGUGUUUUAUCAGAUUUUGUGUAAAAUGAGUGUAUGUGAUUACUUGAUGGAUGUGUUUGGGAUGAUUUUGAUUCAAUGUGGGAUGCUUAGAAUUCAAUGUGACAUGUUUUUGAAAGAUUGUGAGAAGGAUAUGAGUUUAAGCAUUUUAAGUUUGAGAGAUGUUUUGGUGUUUUUGAGUACUAAAAAAUUUGCAAUACACUGGCUGGGCAGGCGAUAUUUUCUUCAGGCAGGCGAAAAUAACAGUUCUGGUUUUUUCUUGACAUAUCUGCUAAAAUCUGCCUGCCCAUCUAUCUGUACUGGCUGGCGUUUUACUUUGCUGGGCAAAAUAAUAGGGCAAGUAGGUGACAUGAUUCUUUUCCCCCUUAUCAGUUUCUCAAAAUCAUUCAAACUUUAACCACUCUCCUCUCUCACAAAUUUUGAUCUUUUCUCACUCAAAUUCAUCCAAUUUUACUCCUCUCAUCCACAAAAAUUCAUUAUUUGACUCAUUCCUCUGACAAGGGUUCACAAGGGUUUGCAGAAGAAUUCAUCUAUUUGUUUUGAAUCCUAAAUUUCAUCUCUUUCUUUAUCUUUUCACAAGGUGGCAAGAUUAAUUGUGGAACCAAAUGCAGUGCCUCCCAAUGAUAAUAGACAUAGUUCUUGAAAAGCUUUACAAGAAACGAGAGAAAGAAAAGAUGAAGCCCGGAUUCGUAAAUGAAGGAAACCUUACCGUACCAUUUGUGUCUUUGGAUUGGAAUUUGAUGUUUCAUCUCCUGCAAGUUGACAUCAUAAUAUUGUCCUGCGUGCCUCUGGUGGUUGGAGUCUCUUUGGAAUUUUUUAGAUUGACUUUGUUUUGUGGUUUUUUAGUGCCUGUUGUGUGUAACCUGGUAUUUUUGCAGAUCCUGUAUCUUUUCUCUCCUUUAGUAUCUCUUGAGCUUAAGGAUGAAUCAUUAAUAUAUUAGUUGAUUCAAAAUUCAAGUUGACCGGAUGAACAGGCUUACCAAAUUUCAAUUUAUCCACUUUAUAUUUCAAUGAAAAGAACACUUUGAUCAGAUAUUUUGAUUCUUAAACCAUCAAAACCUGCCAAAGUCAUAUCAUCUCUCAUAUUUGCACAAAUCUUGUAAGUAUCCCAAGGCGCAAUCCUCGAGACAAAUGGUAUGACAGAAUGUAAUCUCCAUAUAAAAGUCUCUCAUCCUUCUCAUUGUCGCGACGAGGAAACCUUCAGUAACAUUUUUCGUCCAUUUCGUUUUAAGAAUACGUGAUCAUAAUUGAUGUUAUUUUGUUCUGCUAUUUCUAAGGAAGGUUGAUAUUGCAGGAUGGUUAUACUUUAUUUUGUAACACAUA